rnacentral:tRNA from 1 species
GCCGGAGUGGCGAAAUGGUAGACGCAGCGGAUUCAAAAUCCGCCGGUGGCAACAUCAUGGGGGUUCGAUUCCCUUCUCCGGCACCA